rnacentral:rRNA from 1 species
UAGGGAAUCUUCGGCAAUGGGGGGAACCCUGACCGAGCAACGCCGCGUGAGUGAAGAAGGUUUUCGGAUCGUAAAGCUCUGUUGUUAAGGAAGAACGAGUGUGAGAAUGGAAAGUUCAUGCUGUGACGGUACUUAACCAGAAAGGGACGGCUAACUACGUGCCAGCAGCCGCGGUAAUACGUAGGUCCCGAGCGUUGUCCGGAUUUAUUGGGCGUAAAGCGAGCGCAGGCGGUUAGAUAAGUCUGAAGUUAAAGGCAGUGGCUCAACCAUUGUAGGCUUUGGAAACUGUUUAACUGGAGUGCAGAAGAGGAGAGUGGAAGUCCAUGUGUAGCGGGGAAAUGCGUAGAUAUAUGGAGGAACACCAGGGGCGAAGGCGACUCUCUGGUCUGUAACUGACGCUGAGGUUCGAAAGCGUGGGUAGCAAACAGG